CAGACCCGGUCAACUGUCGAAUUUCCGCGACUUGAGGAUACCUCAAAGUCUAGUUUUCCCAUUGCUAAAAAACUCUCAUAUUCCAAGUUUCCAGAAGAGGAGAUGGGAGCUGGUUGAUCACAGUCCUGGACUAAGACAAGAAGCGGUGGCUUGGUCCCCAUCUUGGACAGUAUUUCAAGGGCUCCCUGUGCAAUUUGGAGAAAUUGGUAAUCCACAAAAAUGAAUUUGGCCUCUGAAUGUCUCAGUAACGCAGAUACCAUUGCUGAAUCGUGGCGUACAUUGAGCGUACAAAGAACUGCCCCAGCCAUUGGAACACC
rnacentral:misc_RNA from 1 species